CGCUCUCUGCGGCGUACGUCAACGGGCCGGGUAUCCUUGAGCCUAAUUAAGAAACCCAAGGAACUGACCGGUAGGCGAUGUUGAGCAGUCCGCUCUCGUAGCGGAACGCCUGAUUCGCCUCGCGAUGUUCCGUUCUUGAACCCUCGGUUCAAGUCGAAGGCCCGUAACGGCGCAGCGGAGAGCAC
rfam:Chromatiales bacterium TSCg_Taylor scaffold_103, whole genome shotgun sequence.